UUGUGCUUGAAUGGGGAUUCCAUUAAUCCAAAUCGAUCAGUUGUGAAGUUUACAUUGAUCUUACUGUACACGGUUCAGAUUAAUUUUGUUGACAGGGGAUCUCAGUUAGUUCAGGAUGCAGGUCGUUUGCAGUGUUGCAUGUGCAGUACUGAUCAUUGACACGUGGACCUCAUAGCCCCUCGGAUCCACGUAUCAAUGAGCAGUACUGCAUGUACUGCAGGGGAUCUCAAUUAGUUCGGUUGGCAUUGCUAAGGCACGGAGCACUGUUACGGGGCUUGCAGCUGCAAGCUGCGCAGCGUCAUCAAGAUGGAGCCUCACCUAGUUCCUCCUCCUCAUGCAACUGCAGCUGUGUAGUAUCACGAAAAGGGAGACAUGGCGAUGAGGAAGAGCCAACCCUGAGAAAACUCAGGAGGCAAAGUGGAAUUGCUCCUCUGUAUCCUUUCAAAGAUUCAGAGUUUCAGUUAGCUCUUCUCUCUUUUUAGUUUUUCUUUUCCCUUCAAAGUCUUCAAAAAGACCCAAGAGGUGAAAGGUCCGUUCUUGUUUCCCUUCUGUCCUUUGGAUGGUAGCUAAUGAACAUGGAUGGACAGGUCAAUCUCACCGUCCCUUGUUAGAAAUGGACGCCAUUAAUUAGUUUGAAGCCUUGAAGAUUCAGGUCAUCAGGUCUCUGGCAAAUUGGCAACCUCGAACAAGCUUCAUGACAUCUUCCUAAGUUGAGUGAUUGGACAGAAAGUUUGUGCACUACUACUAAAAUUCUUGCUUCCUUUUGUUGGAUUGCCAAUUUGCCAUUUCCCCCAGAAUCACAUUCUGCAGUUUCUGACGGUUCAUCAUGGUUGCAAUGAACCUAUCCGUGUAAUUCUUCUCUUCUUUUUUUUUUGUGAUGUUACAUGAGCGACUUUAAUGGUGGAAUUUAUUUGUUUGA